rnacentral:rRNA from 1 species
UAAGCAUAUCAAUAAGCGGAGGAAAAGAAACCAACCGGGAUUGCCUUAGUAACGGCGAGUGAAGCGGCAAAAGCUCAAAUUUGAAAUCUGGCGUCUUCGACGUCCGAGUUGUAAUUUGAAGAAGGUAACUUUGUAGCUGGUCCUUGUCUAUGUUCCUUGGAACAGGACGUCAUAGAGGGUGAGAAUCCCGUGUGGCGAGGAUCCCAGUUAUUUGUAAAGUGCUUUCGACGAGUCGAGUUGUUUGGGAAUGCAGCUCUAAGUGGGUGGUAAAUUCCAUCUAAAGCUAAAUAUUGGCGAGAGACCGAUAGCGAACAAGUACAGUGAUGGAAAGAUGAAAAGAACUUUGAAAAGAGAGUGAAAAAGUACGUGAAAUUGUUGAAAGGGAAGGGCAUUUGAUCAGACAUGGCGUUUGCUUCGGCUUUCGCUGGGCCAGCAUCAGUUUUAGCGGUUGGAUAAAUCCUCGGGAAUGUGGCUCUGCUUCGGUAGAGUGUUAUAGCCCGUGGGAAUACAGCCAGCUGGGACUGAGGAUUGCGACUUUUGUCAAGGAUGCUGGCGUAAUGGUUAAAUGCCGCCCGUCUUGAAACACGGACCAAGGAGUCUAACGUCUAUGCGAGUGUUUGGGUGUAAAACCCGUACGCGUAAUGAAAGUGAACGUAGGUGAGGGCCCGCAAGGGUGCAUCAUCGACCGAUCCUGAUGUCUUCGGAUGGAUUUGAGUAAGAGCAUAGCUGUUGGGACCCGAAAGAUGGUGAACUAUGCCUGAAUAGGGUGAAGCCAGAGGAAACUCUGGUGGAGGCUCGUAGCGGUUCUGACGUGCAAAUCGAUCGUCGAAUUUGGGUAUAGGGGCGAAAGACUAAUCGAACCAUCUAGUAGCUGGUUCCUGCCGA